rnacentral:tRNA from 1 species
GGGAGUGUGGCUCAAAUGGUAGAGUACCUGACUAACAACAGUGAAACCCUGGGUUCAAACCCCAGUACUCCAU